rnacentral:rRNA from 1 species
UACGGGGGGGGCAAGCGUUGUUCGGAAUUACUGGGCGUAAAGGGUUCGUAGGUGGCCAACUAAGUCAGACGUGAAAUCCCUCAGCUUAACUGGGGAACUGCGUCUGAUACUGGUUGGCUUGAGUGCAGGAGAGGAACGCGGAAUUCCAGGUGUAGCGGUGAAAUGCGUAGAUAUCAGGAAGAACACCAAUGGCGAAGGCAGCUCUCUGGGACGGUACUGACGCUGAGACGCGAAAGCGUGGGGAGCGAACAGG